AAGCAUUCUUAUAAACCCCCUGGCAGCACUGAUCUCACCUGCUGGGACAAGAAAGGAUGCGAUAGCAAGAGAGCUGGGUUUCAUCCAAAGCCAAGGGCCUUUUCCCGUGACCCUUCGCUAUUUCAAAUCCCAGACAUUA
ensembl:snoRNA